rnacentral:snoRNA from 1 species
CUGCGAUGAUGGCAUUUCUUAGGACACCUUUGGAUUAAUAAUGAAACCAACUACUCUCUGAGCAGC